rnacentral:rRNA from 1 species
GAUAAACGCUGGCGGCGUGCCUAAUACAUGCAAGUCGAGCGAACGGACGAGAAGCUUGCUUCUCUGAUGUUAGCGGCGGACGGGUGAGUAACACGUGGAUAACCUACCUAUAAGACUGGGAUAACUUCGGGAAACCGGAGCUAAUACCGGAUAAUAUUUUGAACCGCAUGGUUCAAAAGUGAAAGACGGUCUUGCUGUCACUUAUAGAUGGAUCCGCGCUGCAUUAGCUAGUUGGUAAGGUAACGGCUUACCAAGGCAACGAUGCAUAGCCGACCUGAGAGGGUGAUCGGCCACACUGGAACUGAGACACGGUCCAGACUCCUACGGGAGGCAGCAGUAGGGAAUCUUCCGCAAUGGGCGAAAGCCUGACGGAGCAACGCCGCGUGAGUGAUGAAGGUCUUCGGAUCGUAAAACUCUGUUAUUAGGGAAGAACAUAUGUGUAAGUAACUGUGCACAUCUUGACGGUACCUAAUCAGAAAGCCACGGCUAACUACGUGCCAGCAGCCGCGGUAAUACGUAGGUGGCAAGCGUUAUCCGGAAUUAUUGGGCGUAAAGCGCGCGUAGGCGGUUUUUUAAGUCUGAUGUGAAAGCCCACGGCUCAACCGUGGAGGGUCAUUGGAAACUGGAAAACUUGAGUGCAGAAGAGGAAAGUGGAAUUCCAUGUGUAGCGGUGAAAUGCGCAGAGAUAUGGAGGAACACCAGUGGCGAAGGCGACUUUCUGGUCUGUAACUGACGCUGAUGUGCGAAAGCGUGGGGAUCAAACAGGAUUAGAUACCCUGGUAGUCCACGCCGUAAACGAUGAGUGCUAAGUGUUAGGGGGUUUCCGCCCCUUAGUGCUGCAGCUAACGCAUUAAGCACCCCGCCUGGGGAGUACGACCGCAAGGUUGAAACUCAAAGGAAUUGACGGGGACCCGCACAAGCGGUGGAGCAUGUGGUUUAAUUCGAAGCAACGCGAAGAACCUUACCAAAUCUUGACAUCCUUUGACAACUCUAGAGAUAGAGCCUUCCCCUUCGGGGGACAAAGUGACAGGUGGUGCAUGGUUGUCGUCAGCUCGUGUCGUGAGAUGUUGGGUUAAGUCCCGCAACGAGCGCAACCCUUAAGCUUAGUUGCCAUCAUUAAGUUGGGCACUCUAAGUUGACUGCCGGUGACAAACCGGAGGAAGGUGGGGAUGACGUCAAAUCAUCAUGCCCCUUAUGAUUUGGGCUACACACGUGCUACAAUGGACAAUACAAAGGGCAGCGAAACCGCGAGGUCAAGCAAAUCCCAUAAAGUUGUUCUCAGUUCGGAUUGUAGUCUGCAACUCGACUACAUGAAGCUGGAAUCGCUAGUAAUCGUAGAUCAGCAUGCUACGGUGAAUACGAUCGCGGGUCU